AUUGAACGCUGGCGGCAGGCCUAACACAUGCAAGUCGAACGGUAACAGGAAGACGCUUGCUUCUUUGCUGACGAGUGGCGGACGGGUGAGUAAUGUCUGGGAAACUGCCUGAUGGAGGGGGAUAACUACUGGAAACGGUAGCUAAUACCGCAUAACGUCGCAAGACCAAAGAGGGGGACCUUCGGGCCUCUUGCCAUCGGCUGUGCCCAGAUGGGAUUAGCUAGUAGGUGGGGUAACGGCUCACCUAGGCGACGAUCCCUAGCUGGUCUGAGAGGAUGACCAGCAACACUGGAACUGAGACACGGUCCAGACUCCUACGGGAGGCAGCAGUGGGGAAUAUUGCACAAUGGGCGCAAGCCUGAUGAAGCCAUGCCGCGUGUAUGAAGAAGGCCUUCGGGUUGUAAAGUACUUUCAGCGGGGAGGAAGGGAGUAAAGUUAAUACCUUUGCUCAUUGACGUUACCCGCAGAAGAAGCACCGGCUAACUACGUG
rnacentral:rRNA from 1 species